rnacentral:rRNA from 1 species
GCGCGAAAACUUUACAAUGCUGGCAACAGCGAUAAGGGAACCUCGAGUGCCAGGUUACAAAUCUGGCUGUCGUGAUGCCUAAAAAGCAUUGCAUAGCAAGGGCCGGGCAAGACCGGUGCCAGCCGCCGCGGUAACACCGGCGGCUCGAGUGGUAACCGUUAUUAUUGGGUCUAAAGGGUCUGUAGCCGGCCGGAUAAGUCUCUUGGGAAAUCUGGCAGCUUAACUGUCAGGCUUUCAGGGGAUACUGUCUGGCUCGAGGCCGGGAGAGGUAAGAGGUACUUCAGGGGUAGGGGUGAAAUCUUGUAAUCCUUGAAGGACCACCAGUGGCGAAGGCGUCUUACCAGAACGGACCUGACGGCAAGGGACGAAAGCUAGGGGCACGAACC